rnacentral:rRNA from 1 species
ACCUUACCAAGGCUUGACAUAUAGUGAAAAGUGGCAGAGAUGUCAUGUCCGCAAGGGCGCUAUACAGGUGGUGCAUGGUUGUCGUCAGCUCGUGUCGUGAGAUGUUGGGUUAAGUCCCGCAACGAGCGCAACCCUCGUUCUGUGUUACCAGCAUUAAGUUGGGGACUCACAGGAGACUGCCGGGGUCAACUCGGAGGAAGGUGGGGAUGACGUCAAAUCAUCAUGCCCCUUAUGUCUUGGGCUGCACGCAUGCUACAAUGGCCGGUACAAAGUGCUGCGAGAUCGUAAGAUUGAGCGAAUCACAUAAAGCCGGUCUCAGUUCGGAUUGAGGUCUGCAACUCGACCUCAUGAAGUCGGAGUUGCUAGUAAUCGUAGAUCAGCAACGCUACGGUGAAUACGUUCCCGGGGCUUGUACACACCGCCCGUCACGUCACGAAAGUCGGUAACACCCAAAGUUAGUGGCCCAACCGCAAGGGGNG